AGAGUUUGAUCAUGGCUCAGGGACGAACGCUGGCGGCGUGCUUAACACAUGCAAGUCGAGCGAGGAAAUUCCUUCGGGGAUUUUCUAGCGGCGGACGGGUGAGUAACACGUGGGCAACCUGCCUGAUAGAGGGGGAUAGCCUCCCGAAAGGGAGAUUAAUACCGCAUAAAGUCAAAUGAAGGCAUCUUCAAAUGACCAAAGGAGUAAUCCGCUAUCAGAUGGGCCCGCGGCGCAUUAGCUAGUUGGUGAAGUAACGGCUCACCAAGGCGACGAUGCGUAGCCGACCUGAGAGGGUGAUCGGCCACAUUGGGACUGAGACACGGCCCAGACUCCUACGGGAGGCAGCAGUGGGGAAUAUUGCACAAUGGGGGAAACCCUGAUGCAGCAACGCCGCGUGAGUGAUGAAGGCCUUCGGGUUGUAAAGCUCUGUCUUCAGGGACGAUAAUGACGGUACCUGAGGAGGAAGCCACGGCUAACUACGUGCCAGCAGCCGCGGUAAUACGUAGGUGGCAAGCGUUGUCCGGAUUUACUGGGCGUAAAGGGAGCGUAGGCGGAUACUUAAGUGGGAUGUGAAAUACCUGGGCUUAACUUGGGUGCUGCAUUCCAAACUGGGUGUCUAGAGUGUUGGAGAGGAAGUGGAAU
rnacentral:rRNA from 1 species